rnacentral:rRNA from 1 species
GACGUAGGAGGCGAGCGUUGUCCGGAUUCAUUGGGCGUAAAGAGCGCGCAGGCGGCUUGGUAAGUCGGAUGUGAAAUCCCGAGGCUCAACCUCGGGUCUGCAUCCGAUACUGCCCGGCUAGAGGUAGGUAGGGGAGAUCGGAAUUCCUGGUGUAGCGGUGAAAUGCGCAGAUAUCAGGAGGAACACCGGUGGCGAAGGCGGGUCUCUGGGCAACAACUGACGCUGAGGAGCGAAAGCGUGGGGAGCGAACAGG